rnacentral:lncRNA from 1 species
CUAUGUAGACUGUAGUCCAAGAAAUAGAGUAACAUAGAAUUCAUGUAGACAACUGUCAAUACUCAAUGUGCCCGAUAACAUUUAAAUAUGUACACGAAGAAUUCAUGUUUUAACGAAACAAUUCAAGGAGUUUAAGCACCAACAUAUCAAUAGAGUGAUGUAUUGUCGAUGUGUCAUACAUCGAUUCAGGAGAUAUCUCAACUUCAAAUGCAAAAGAAAGAAAGAUAUAACAACUACUUCGACCUUAUUCAAUGGUAAGUAUCAUGCAUACUUAUUUUGGUGCUUCUCGCCGGAAGCACUUCCGUUGGAGGAACACCAUUCAGAAAAUAAUUCUGCUCUAAAAGAAAAAAAUUAACAACUAAUUCGGUCUUAUCCAAUGGUAAAUGUUGUGCAGGCCAUUUUGGCACUUCUCACUUAAAGCACUAAUAUGAAAAACAAUGUAUACAAUAAUCUGAACCGCAGUAUUAUGCAGAGGAACAUAUUACAAAAAGACUCACAUGGAACAGUAAUUAGCCAGUCCAAGUAAUGUACAAUGAAGCUGCUCAUGCAUAAACAUGACAGUACACGAAAAACCUGAAAUUUUAAUAGUUCCUUACCACGGUACCAAGAAUACAGGAAGACACAUGUACGUGGAAAGUCAAACAAAAUCAACUCAUUCCUGUUUUGCUGGAAAUUAACGAACCUUGGAGGAUUGAGAUGUUGUUUCCCUGCACCCCUUGUUCUUUGCUGCAUGCGGUCCCAAUUUCCACACAUCAAUCAUCUGCUUGUAGAUUAGAAGAUCUUGGACGUGGCUACUUCCUCUCUAUAUACAAUUCCCCGAAUAUAUAUGAGCAAAAUGAUACAAAAGGUUCGCCAAAAAUGGAACUCUCUAUGUACAAUCCUCCCAAUCUGUAAUCAAAAUGAUACAAAAGGUUCACCAAAAAUCAAACAGCUUGCCGGUGAAGGAGCAUUGUUGUUGGCUGCUGGGGUGCUUUGAAGAUGGUUUUCACCUUGGAAAAUAAAUGGAAGAGUGACCAUAUAAACAGAGCGUACCCCUUCAUCAUUGACCCCAUACAUUUCAAGUACU